GACGAACGCUGUUUGCGUGCUUAACACAUGCAAGUCGAACGAAAAGGCCCUGCUUUUGUGGGGUGCUCGAGUGGCGAACGGGUGAGUAACACGUGAGUAACCUGCCCUUGACUUUGGGAUAACUUCAGGAAACUGGGGCUAAUACCGGAUAGGAGCUCCUGCUGCAUGGUGGGGGUUGGAAAGCUUCGGCGGUUGGGGAUGGACUCGCGGCUUAUCAGCUUGUUGGUGGGGUAGUGGCUUACCAAGGCUUUGACGGGUAGCCGGCCUGAGAGGGUGACCGGCCACAUUGGGACUGAGAUACGGCCCAGACUCCUACGGGAGGCAGCAGUGGGGAAUAUUGCACAAUGGGCGGAAGCCUGAUGCAGCAACGCCGCGCGCGGGAUGACGGCCUUCGGGUUGUAAACCGCUUUCGCCUGUGACGAAGCGUGAGUGACGGUAAUGGGUAAAGAAGCACCGGCUAACUACGUGCCAGCAGCCGCGGUGAUACGUAGGGUGCGAGCGUUGUCCGGAUUUAUUGGGCGUAAAGGGCUCGUAGGUGGUUGAUCGCGUCGGAAGUGUAAUCUUGGGGCUUAACCCUGAGCGUGCUUUCGAUACGGGUUGACUUGAGGAAGGUAGGGGAGAAUGGAAUUCCUGGUGGAGCGGUGGAAUGCGCAGAUAUCAGGAGGAACACCAGUGGCGAAGGCGGUUCUCUGGGCCUUUCCUGACGCUGAGGAGCGAAAGCGUGGGGAGCGAACAGGCUUAGAUACCCUGGUAGUCCACGCUGUAAACGGUGGGUACUAGGUGUGGGGUCCAUUCCACGGGUUCCGUGCCGUAGCUAACGCUUUAAGUACCCCGCCUGGGGAGUACGGCCGCAAGGCUAAAACUCAAAGGAAUUGACGGGGCCCCGCACAAGCGGCGGAGCAUGCGGAUUAAUUCGAUGCAACGCGUAGAACCUUACCUGGGUUUGACAUGGAUCGGGAGUGCUCAGAGAUGGGUGUGCCUCUUUUGGGGUCGGUUCACAGGUGGUGCAUGGCUGUCGUCAGCUCGUGUCGUGAGAUGUUGGGUUAAGUCCCGCAGCGAGCGCAACCCUUGUUCACUGUUGCCAGCACGUUAUGGUGGGGACUCAGUGGAGACCGCCGGGGUCAACUCGGAGGAAGGUGGGGAUGACGUCAAGUCAUCAUGCCCCUUAUGUCCAGGGCUUCACGCAUGCUACAAUGGCUGGUACAGAGAGUGGCGAGCCUGUGAGGGUGAGCGAAUCUCGGAAAGCCGGUCUCAGUUCGGAUUGGGGUCUGCAACUCGACCUCAUGAAGUCGGAGUCGCUAGUAAUCGCAGAUCAGCAACGCUGCGGUGAAUCCGUUCCCGGG
rnacentral:rRNA from 1 species